UUACCCCUGCCUCUAAAGGGGGAGGCCCAUGAUUAAACAAGCCCAGAGGUCAAGAGUGGACCAGGUGCCAUUGCAUUGUAUUUGAGGAGGUGAGGUCAUCGACAGGAGCCUUGGUUGGAAAUGUUUGUCGGUUCCACAGUGUGAAUACUUCCACUGCAGCCCAUCUCCAGUUACCAAUGCGGGGUACUGUGCAUGGAGCUGGAGAGAGGUAAGUACAAUCGCUUCUCCACCGGGCCCGGGCUUCUCUCAGGUUUGAGGCUGGAGGUGAGUGAGCUCCCCCUGGGAAGAGGCUGGGCUGCCGGGGGAGGAGCUGUCUGGGGGCGAAGAGGGGCCCACUGAGCCCAGGACUCUGCAGCCAGCCUGGCUCGCUGGCACAGCCGGGAAGAUUUCCCUAAGACUCACCACUCUGUGUGGGGCUCUCAGUAAAUGUUUAUUGAGUGAUGCAUGAUGGAUGUUAAGACAUUGAAUCAAAUCUUGCUCUGACCUUUGAGUCAGUCUGUUGGGUGUGAAAGAACCAGCUUUUCUGCUCUGUUUGCUGGAAGCGUCUGAACCCCUCCUGGGGCCUCCUGCUCUCACCCUCCUCCCCUUCUCUGGGACCGUCCUCAGGGAAGGCCUCUGGGCUUGGCGUUUCACACAGCCUCUUUCCCACCUAAUCUCAGGCGUUCUUGCAACAGCCCGUGGAGGUAAACAGCUGUGUCUCUCAGUUCCACCACUGGCCACAGGCAGGGCCUUGGGUGAGGUUUUCAUCCUCCCUGGGUAGUGGUUUCCUCUCUCCAAAAAUAGAGGGAGUAACAAUAUCUACUGCAUAGGCUUGGCGAGAGGACUGCAUGGGGUAACACAGGAAAGUGCCUAGGCUGGGUGCGGUGGCUCACGCCUGUAAUCCCAGCACUUUGGGAGGCUGAAGCUGG
rnacentral:lncRNA from 10 species